rnacentral:rRNA from 1 species
CACGUAGGGUGCGAGCGUUGUCCGGAAUUAUUGGGCGUAAAGAGCUCGUAGGCGGUGUGUCGCGUCGGCCGUGAAAACCUGGGGCUCAACCCCGGGCCUGCAGCCGAUACGGGCAAGCUAGAAUUCGGUAGGGGAGACUGGAAUUCCUGGUGUAGCGGUGAAAUGCGCAGAUAUCAGGAGGAACACCGGUGGCGAAGGCGGGUCUCUGGGCCGAUAUUGACGCUGAGGAGCGAAAGCGUGGGGAGCGAACAGG